AGUGAACGCUGGCGGCAGGCCUAACACAUGCAAGUCGAACGGCAGCGCAGUAUUCGCUUGCGCUUCCGGGUGGCGAGUGGCGGAUGGUUCAGGAGUACAUCGGCAUCUACUUUUGCGUGGGGGACAACGUAGGGAAACUUACGCCAAUACCGCAUACGGCCUACGGGUGAAAGCAGCGGAUCUUCCGCCCUUGCGCGCGCCAAUGACCCGAUGUCGGAUUAGCUAGUUGGCGGGGUAAAGGCCUACCAAGGCGACGAUCUGUAGCUGGUCUGAGAGGACGACCAGCCACACUGGGACUGAGACACGGCCCAGACUCCUACGGGAGGCAGCAGUGGGGAAUUUUGGACAAUGGGCGAAAGCCUGAUCCAGCAAUGCCGCGUGUGUGAUGAAGGCCUUCGGGUUGUAAAGCACUUUUGGCGGGAACGAAAAGGACUGUGCCAAUACCACGGUUCGAUGACGGUACCCGCAGAAUAAGCACCGGCUAACUUCGUG
rnacentral:rRNA from 1 species